rnacentral:rRNA from 1 species
AACCCUCCGGUAGUGAACCUGCGGAGGGAUCAUUA